rnacentral:rRNA from 1 species
UACGUAGGGACCGAGCGUUGUCCGGAAUCAUUGGGCGUAAAGAGCGUGUAGGCGGCCUUUUAAGUCCUGCGUGAAAUCCUGCGGCUCAACCGCAGACGGUCGUGGGAAACUGGGAGGCUAGAGUGCGGGAGAGGAGAGUGGAAUUCCCGGUGUAGCGGUGAAAUGCGCAGAUAUCAGGAGGAACACCGAUGGCGAAGGCAGGGUCUCUGGGCAUUAACUGACGCUGAGGAGCGAAAGCAUGGGGAGCGAACAGG